UACGGAGGGUGCAAGCGUUAUCCGGAUUCACUGGGUUUAAAGGGUGCGUAGGCGGGCAGGUAAGUCCGUGGUGAAAUCUCUGAGCUUAACUCAGAAACUGCCAUGGAUACUAUUUGUCUUGAAUACUGUGGAGGUGAGCGGAAUAUGGUCAUGUAGCGGUGAAAUGCUUAGAUAUGACAUAGAACACCAAUUGCGAAGGCAGCUCACUACACAAUUAUUGACGCUGAGGCACGAAAGCGUGGGAUCAAACAGG
rnacentral:rRNA from 1 species